GACGAACGCUGGCGGCGUGCUUAACACAUGCAAGUCGAACGGAAAGGCCCUGCUUUUGUGGGGUGCUCGAGUGGCGAGCGGGUGAGUAACACGUGAGUAACCUGCCCUUGACUUUGGGAUAACUUCAGGAAACUGGGGCUAAUACCGGAUAGGAGCUCCUGCUGCAUGGUGGGGGUUGGAAAGUUUCGGCGGUUGGGGAUGGACUCGCGGCUUAUCAGCUUGUUGGUGGGGUAGUGGCUUACCAAGGCUUUGACGGGUAGCCGGCCUGAGAGGGUGACCGGCCACAUUGGGACUGAGAUACGGCCCAGACUCCUACGGGAGGCAGCAGUGGGGAAUAUUGCACAAUGGGCGGAGGCCUGAUGCAGCAACGCCGCGUGCGGGAUGACGGCCUUCGGGUUGUAAACCGCUUUCGCCUGUGACGAAGCGUGAGUGACGGUAAUGGGUAAAGAAGCACCGGCUAACUACGUGCCAGCAGCCGCGGUGAUACGUAGGGUGCGAGCGUUGUCCGGAUUUAUUGGGCGUAAAGGGCUCGUAGGUGGUUGAUCGCGUCGGAAGUGUAAUCUUGGGGCUUAACCCUGAGCGUGCUUUCGAUACGGGUUGACUUGAGGAAGGUAGGGGAGAAUGGAAUUCCUGGUGGAGCGGUGGAAUGCGCAGAUAUCAGGAGGAACACCAGUGGCGAAGGCGGUUCUCUGGGCCUUUCCUGACGCUGAGGAGCGAAAGCGUGGGGAGCGAACAGGCUUAGAUACCCUGGUAGUCCACGCUGUAAACGGUGGGUACUAGGUGUGGGGUCCAUUCCACGGGUUCCGUGCCGUAGCUAACGCUUUAAGUACCCCGCCUGGGGAGUACGGCCGCAAGGCUAAAACUCAAAGGAAUUGACGGGGCCCCGCACAAGCGGCGGAGCAUGCGGAUUAAUUCGAUGCAACGCGUAGAACCUUACCUGGGUUUGACAUGGAUCGGGAGUGCUCAGAGAUGGGUGUGCCUCUUUUGGGGUCGGUUCACAGGUGGUGCAUGGCUGUCGUCAGCUCGUGUCGUGAGAUGUUGGGUUAAGUCCCGCAACGAGCGCAACCCUUGUUCACUGUUGCCAGCACGUUAUGGUGGGGACUCAGUGGAGACCGCCGGGGUCAACUCGGAGGAAGGUGGGGAUGACGUCAAGUCAUCAUGCCCCUUAUGUCCAGGGCUUCACGCAUGCUACAAUGGCUGGUACAGAGAGUGGCGAGCCUGUGAGGGUGAGCGAAUCUCGGAAAGCCGGUCUCAGUUCGGAUUGGGGUCUGCAACUCGACCUCAUGAAGUCGGAGUCGCUAGUAAUCGCAGAUCAGCAACGCUGCGGUGAAUACGUUCCCGGGGCU
rnacentral:rRNA from 1 species